rnacentral:rRNA from 1 species
GAUGAACGCUGGCGGCGUGCCUAAUACAUGCAAGUCGAGCGAACAGACGAGGAGCUUGCUCCUCUGACGUUAGCGGCGGACGGGUGAGUAACACGUGGAUAACCUACCUAUAAGACUGGGAUAACUUCGGGAAACCGGAGCUAAUACCGGAUAAUCUAUUGAACCGCAUUGUUCAAUAGUGAAAGACGGUUUUGCUGUCACUUAUAGAUGGAUCCGCGCCGCAUUAGCUAGUUGGUAAGGUAACGGCUUACCAAGGCAACGAUGCGUAGACGACCUGAGAGGGUGAUCGGCCACACGGGAAGUGAGACACGGUCAAGACUCCUACGGGAGGCAGCAGUAGGGAAUCUUACGCAGUGGGCGAAAGCCUGACGGAGCAACGCGGAGUGAGUGAUGAAGGUCUUCGGAGCGGAAAACUCGGUUAUUAGGGAAGAACAAAUGUGUAAGUAAAUAUGCAGGUCUUGACGGUACCUAAUCAGAAAGCCACGGCUAACUACGUG